rnacentral:lncRNA from 1 species
UCUAUGCGAAAUUUGAUAGAUGGUAACAGAAUGGUUAAAGAAUGUGGCCGGAGUCAAGUCCAGAUCAGUGGUUAAUUUCAUAUUUGCUGCGGGAGAUCGGCCACACAUUGGGUUACUCAAUAUCCAUAAGACUCUAAAAGAGCUGAAUUUUACUCUUCAUGUUCUUAGUUAUUAUUUUUUCCUUACUCUUCUUGAUCUCCAUUCUUCCUUCCUUUUUCCAUUUAUAUAUGCUCUAUUAGAAUUCUACAAUUUGAAGAAGCCAACACAAUGUCAAUAACAAGAUGCAAGAAGGAUGUAAUAUUCUUGUGAAGUCGUUUUCGAAAAAAGGUUAAAGAUCAUGAUGCUAUGCUUAAUGCAAUUGAAUGCUAUGUAUUGAUCUUUCUUUUUCCUUUUAUUUAGGUUAUUUAAUUUACAUUCUUUUUAGAGAAAAAAUGAAAAUGCUUAAGAUUGUAGAUGAAGUUAAAUCAAAGAAUA